CCCCCAGCUAUGAUGGCUGCUGGUUUCGGUGAUACAAGCAAAUGGCAUUUAUAAUUUAAUGGCCUAGAAAAAUGUUGCAACACAGACAUUGAUGUAAAUCUUUUCUAAUAUCUAACUUCAAAUGGCAAAGAAAAUAGUUUACUUUUCACUUCAUAUUCCAGAAUAUUAUUUUUUAGCAUUAGUGAAAUUUUAUUUUGUAUAAACUAUCAAGCCCUAAUAAUGGGGAUGAGUUUCAGCUCUGAGAGUGUUGAAACCAUAAGUGAAUUCAACUUGUGUCUGCUAAAUUUGUCAACAAUAAUGUCAUUGUUAAAGUUACAUGAAUUCAUGUUCUUGACUUUCAUCUUUUUUAUUUCUUGAACAUUUGAUUGCUGUAAAUAUUUUGUUAAUUUAUGAGAAAUUGGGUGUAAGUGUAAGAUGGUGACUGAUUUGGUGUAAGUAAGAUGGUGACUGAAUGUAAGAUAAUUAACUAGGUGUAAGUAAGAUGGGGACAGUGUAAGAUGGUGACUGGGGUAUAUGCCAACUUUAACUGGCAGGCAGCACACAUUUUUCUAAAGUAUAAGGCAAGAUCUGAUUGGUUGAAAUCUGCUUGUGAAGAUUGUGUCAGGCUGUAGGUGUAUUUGUGAUGAUUGUAUUGGCCUGUAGGUGUAUUUGUGAUGAUUGUAUUGGCCUGUAUGUGUA